AUAGCCUCAAACCCCUGGGCUCAAGUGAGCCUUUUGAACUAGAACAUUGGCCUUUUCUGGUUAUGCAGAAGCUUCCAACCUUCAGAUUUGAACUGGGACACUGGCUUUGCAGAUUUUGAUCUUGCCAACCUUCAUAAUUGCAACCUACACUCCUGUCAAUUGUGGGAUGAUAACUGGAGCCAGAGGCCAGGAAGAAGUUCAUGAGCCCGAGAGAAAAAGCAAGGAUUUCCAGUUCUACCCUGUCCAGGUACCGACAACUAGGAUCAGCUCCACAGUCCACUGAGAUUGUCCAGACUGGCCAGUCAGGAGCCUGUUCACCCUGCCUCACCUGUUCCUUCCCAUGGGAGCCAGAGUAAAGGCCUUUGCCUACAUUUCUCCCCUGGCCAUCUGCCUCCUAACCAGCCU